rnacentral:rRNA from 1 species
UACGUAGGCAGCAAGCGUUGUUCGGAAUUACUGGGCGUAAAGAGUGUGUAGGCGGUGCUCUAAGUCUGUUGUGAAAUCUCCCGGCUUAACUGGGAGGGUGCGGCGGAGACUGGAGUGCUAGAGUGUGGGAGAGGUAAGCGGAAUUCCUGGUGUAGCGGUGAAAUGCGUAGAUAUCGGGAGGAAUACCUAUGGCGAAAGCAGUCUUCUGGACCAUCACUGACUCUGAUCUGCGAAAGCUAGGGGAGCAAACGGG